rnacentral:misc_RNA from 1 species
CCGCAGCCCGGCCUGAGUGGAGCUCAUUUUUUUCAUUGCGGUUGGUAAAAUUUCUAUUGAUGGCAAAAAGUCGUUCGCAAUGAAAAAAAUAGCGGGAACGGAGGACGGAUA